AACGAACGCUGGCGGCAUGCCUAACACAUGCAAGUCGAACGAGACCUUCGGGUCUAGUGGCGCACGGGUGCGUAACGCGUGGGAACCUGCCCUUAGGUUCGGAAUAACUCCCCGAAAGGGGUGCUAAUACCGGAUAAUGUCUUCGGACCAAAGAUUUAUCGCCUUUGGAUGGGCCCGCGUUGGAUUAGCUAGUUGGUAGGGUAAAAGCCUACCAAGGCGACGAUCCAUAGCUGGUCUGAGAGGAUGAUCAGCCACACUGGGACUGAGACACGGCCCAGACUCCUACGGGAGGCAGCAGUGGGGAAUAUUGGACAAUGGGCGAAAGCCUGAUCCAGCAAUGCCGCGUGGGUGAUGAAGGCCUUAGGGUUGUAAAGCUCUUUUACCCGGGAUGAUAAUGACAGUACCGGGAGAAUAAGCGCCGGCUAACUCCGUG
rnacentral:rRNA from 1 species